AUUGAACGCUGGCGGCAGGCUUAACACAUGCAAGUCGAACGAGUGGCGGACGGGUGAGUAAUGUCUGGGAACCUGCCCGAUGGAGGGGGAUAACUACUGGAAACGGUAGCUAAUACCGCAUACCAUCGGAUGUGCCCAGAUGGGAUUAGCUAGUAGGUGGGGUAAAGGCUCACCUAGGCGACGAUCCCUAGCUGGUCUGAGAGGAUGACCAGCCACACUGGAACGUAGACACGGUCCAGACGCCGACGGGAGGCAGCAGUGGGGAAUAUUGCACAAUGGGCGCAAGCCUGAUGCAGCCAUGCCGCGUGGGUGAAGAAGGCCGUCGGGUUGUAAAGCACUUUCAGCGAGGAGGCGUUACUCGCAGAAGAAGCACCGGCUAACUCCGUGCCAGCAGCCGCGGUAAUUC
rnacentral:rRNA from 1 species